ensembl:snRNA U6 U6 spliceosomal RNA
GUGCUUCCUUCAGCAGCACAUAUACUAAAAUUGGAACAAUACAGAAAUUAGCAUGGCCCCUGUGCAAGGAUGACAUGCAAAUUUGUGAAGCAUUCCAUAUAUAA